rnacentral:rRNA from 1 species
GACGAACGCUGGCGGCGUGCUUAACACAUGCAAGUCGAACGGAAAGGCCCUGCUUGCAGGGUGCUCGAGUGGCGAACGGGUGAGUAACACGUGGGUGAUCUGCCCCUUACUUUGGGAUAAGCCUGGGAAACUGGGUCUAAUACUGGAUAGGACCAUGCUGUAGGUGGUGUGGUGGAAAGAUUAGUUUCGGUAAGGGAUGAGCUCGCGGCCUAUCAGCUUGUUGGUGGGGUAAUGGCCUACCAAGGCGUCGACGGGUAGCCGGCCUGAGAGGGUGGACGGCCACAUUGGGACUGAGAUACGGCCCAGACUCCUACGGGAGGCAGCAGUGGGGAAUAGUGCACAAUGGGCGCAAGCCUGAUGCAGCGACGCUGCGUGGGGGAUGACGGCCUUCGGGUUGUAAACUCCUUUCAGCCAUGACGAAGCCCUUGUGGUGACGGUAGUGGUAGAAGAAGCACCGGCUAACUACGUG